UUUGGAGUCUAUGAAAUAUCCAUAUUAUUCUCUUUAACAAGCAGAAAUGACAUCAUGAAGGAGUUGUCUCUCUCCCUGCUGAGUCGGGGCUGUGGCCGAUUAAUCUCGUCCAAGGGAACCACUGGAAGACAAGAUGGACGCCUGGACGUCUGCUUUACACCACAGGAUUACUACAUCUGGAAGUCGCAGGAGUCUCUGCUGCGUUUUUCCAGCAGCGGCCAUGUGCUUGUGAAAGAGGAGUCAACCCUUCCGAAGACUUACAGUACCCGUAGGGGCCCACUUCUACUGUACUCCCAGGACCUGGUUACUAUGGAAACCAGCUGUGAGUCAGAGGCUGAGAACAGGAAGAAGCGACUUGCGCGACGGUACACUGAACAGGUGGAACGGCAGCUGAGCACCCUGAAGGAGCUAACGGCGGCCAUUUUGCGCUACGGCAAGAAUCAGUACACCUAUUCCCGACUCGCUCCGUCCCGCUUUCCUCCUCUUCCCUUCUCAAGAGUUCCAGACCUUCAUCUUCACCUUAAUCCCAGUCCUCUACCUGUUACACCGACACAAGCACAGCCCGGUCCAGAGUCGUCUGUGCAGUUGAACUCACAUUGUCGUCCUGCAGAGGAAAACUCUGAACCACUGGAGAAUCUACCUGAAGGUAGAGAGGAGGAGGAGCUUGACGGGAAGAAAAGAGUCAGGCUGGAUGUGUUCCUCCAGACAGCAUGUACCUCCAGGUCUCCUACCCCACAGACGGAGCCUCAGCCCUGGGUACACUAUGUAGCAGUAACCCCUGAAGAACCAGAGGAAGUACAGGCUUACUUAGACAUGUGUCUGCAGCAUACUGCCCGUUCCCAGCAAGUUGAAAUAAACCACCAAAGUACAGGCGGGGCACUCCAAAAACCAAACAUGAACUGUGUCCUCGACGUGUCAGAUGAUCGAGACUGUUCCGUUCAGAGAAAUAGUGGCUUGAUCGGUGAUGAAGGCAACUAUGAAAGAUCGACGAGUGGGAACAGACACGGGAGGACAGGCCAGUCCCUUCCUCCACUGCAGGUGGGGAAGUCAGUCUGUUCUGGACCCUGCUGGGAGAAGACAGACUGGUUCCAGCCGAGGUGGGAGGGCCAGGACUGUGCUGGGCCCCGGGCUACCUCCCGUCUACCUCCCAUAGCAGAGAGCCGCACCGUUGCCCCAGCACGAGUGAUCCAGGAUCAGACCCAACAGUAUGCCCGACCGCGGUUACAAAGAGAUGGGUUUCAGUCCCAGGAUAAUCUGAGUAGACUCCAUCACCAGCCUUUGGUUCUACCUCUGCUGUUACCUGAGAAGGAAGUAGAGAUGAGUCGGAAGCUGAGAGGAGUAAGAGAAAAGACAGAGAGACAGAACUUUAAAAAGCAGACGAUAGGUCACGGAGGAGGAGCAGGAGGAGGAAGGCCGUCUGACAAAGGGUCUACGAUUCUGUUGGAGCCUGGAGAUGAGCCUCCUCCAGUAGGAGUGUCGGGUUGUGUUGCAGGGCGGAAUGGCCCGGGCAAGCAGAGCUCUUUGGCGUUCUUACAGAACCGACUGCUCGACCCCCAGGAUCCCUGUGAAUCCAGUGAUGCCAACAGACGAGUAGUUAGAGGCGUUCUACCGCUGGAACUGAGAGAUUUGCAGAAUGGCAGAUCUGUUGGCAGCCUCAUCCUGGGUCCUGAUGGGGAAAUCAUUCAACUGUCACUGUACGACAGCAGCCGGGAUCCGUCUCAGGGUGAUGAUGUCACACAACGGCAAGCUCUCCAGGUUUUGUCCACAGAGGGAGAGACGUUACCCUGGGUCAUUGUUCUGCAACCUGAGCAUACAUACACAGACAGAGGGGUGGAGCUGAACACGCAGCACCACCAGUUCGUGCGUGAGAGAACAGAGAGUCACAUGACUGUUGGGCAGUUUGCAAUAGGAGAGAGAAGCUUCAGCACUGAACAGCUCUACUCAGAUGUCCAUGACGCAUCUUCAUCCCACGCUGACACAGUGGCUGUGACUCCGAAAAAAACAAAGAGAGCAGAGGCAGUGAUGGAAACAUCAGAGAAACUAAAGAAGGAUGGUAGAAACAAAGUUAGGAUGCCUCCACUGAGGGAGCGGGUUGCGAAGGAGGAGGAGGCAAGAGGAGGCGACACUGAUGCAGAGGAGGAGGAGGAGGAAGAGGAAGAGCUGGCCAUGACGGGACAGACUGGCCAUUCGUCUGGAUCACAUCGACCGGGUCUCUACAGAAAGAAGCAUCAGAGUAAAGAUGACGCGUUGGGCCUUCAGCAGAAAAUCGGCCCAACUGAGGCCACAAAAGAAAAAGCUGCGGACACGAGGAGGAUCAGGAAUAUGAAGAGGAAGGACGCUGAGGAAGCUGCAGUCGCAACUGGGAGAAGUGACAUGAAAACUUCGGAAUCAGAGGGACCGACGACACCGAGGGCGAAUCGAGACGGAGGAAGGCAGAGACAGAAAGCAGAAGGCAGCUCUCAACCAAUCAGGAGCCAGAAACCAGAGGAGCGAGGCGACAGAGGAGCAACAGAGACUCGGGACGACUCCGCUCUGCCCACUGAGAAAACGGAAACGAGAGAAAGGGAAGGAGAGAGAGGAGAGGGAGGGGAGGUGAAGACGAGCGAGGACAGACAAGCUCGAGGAGGAGGAGGAGGAGGAGCAGCGAAGCAGAAGGAAGCGUCUGCUGGGAGGAGGAAGAGGAAGAAGAGAGGGAGGGUGACGCACAAAGAAUUGGUUUCUGGGAACCACGAGGACCCUGUGGAGAAGGACGAGCAGGAGAUCAACCAGGAGGAAGAGGAGGUGGAGGUCAACUCAUCAAGACUACACGAAAAUGACACGAGCACAAAGUCACGGGACGACGUAGAAGCCGACCGCGUCUCCGCCGCUGACCAACGCAGAAGCUUCCGGUCAGUGAGUUCGCUCUGGUCCAGCGACGCCCGCGUCCCGCGUCAGUCAGAGGACGUCGAGGAGGUCGACCGCCUCUUCCUGUGA
rnacentral:lncRNA from 1 species